GCGACAGAUGCGGUGGAGCGAGGCUAUU
rnacentral:sRNA from 1 species